CAGCACAUGGAUUGGGGUAGGUUACAGCCUAUUCUAUACAUGAGAAAGAUGAGGCAGGGGGAUUUUAUAAUCACCUUAUUCUGGCAUAGGUCUUACCCAGUACUGAAGGCUUCACCAGACUGUUUUUCCACUGAGAAAUACUGUUCUUUCUCCAGUAGAAUGGAAAUAUCACACAAAGAACAGUGGCAAGCUGCCACUCAACAAGUCAAGCAAGGAAAAUUCCCAGGAGAUGAAACCUUCCUGACAAAAGACCAUUUCCAAAAGAUCUCGAUGUUGGCUGAUCAGCGCUGUACUUAUCUGGGUAACUAUGCUGAUUUUGAUUGGUCUCACUUAUAUGUUUGAGAAUCAGCUUUGCCAUAUUUCGUCUUCCUGGGACCCAUCUGAACAGUCUCUUCUCUGUCACAGGAGAGAGGAGGCCAGAUCUUACAAGGGCUUUUCAAAUUUCUGCUACUCUCCUAUCUUAAUGGUGGUGGAGGCAGGUAUGUCGGUGGAUAGAAGGGGUGAAGACUCGAGGCCUUCCGCAAAGCGCCACGUAAGGAGCAAGAAUGGAAAAAGCUGCUGCUGCCUGGCCCUAACAACUGUGUCUGUGUCUGGAUCCUUGGCUGAUCAGGUGGUUCUCA
rnacentral:lncRNA from 1 species